AAUGAUUUCUAAGCCGCGUUUCUUCAAGCCUUUUUAGCAAGCCUCUUGACUUAUCUCAUGCUUGCUUGCAUUCCUGUCCCAGCCCUGCCCACCCUGGUGGUCUCUCUCUUGUUCACCUGGUCUCAGUUCCUGCCUGCCUUUCCUGCCUGCCCGGAUGCACUCCGUUCUCACCUGGUUCCCGCUCUCCUGCCUGCCUGCCCACUCGGUGGCCUGCCUGCUUUGGCCUGCUUCUGCCUGUCUCAGCGUCUGGACCUGUUUGACCCAGAUCUCACUCACCUGUGGAUCAUGGCCAGAUAUGAAGAGGAAAUGGAUAUUAUUUUUGGACAAGAUAUACACAAAAGAGCCAAUGCACAGGACCAAAGAUAAGCCAAUCCAGGAAGGAUUGGUGCACUUCUAGGCCAAUACAACGGUCUUGAACCUACUGUGAAGACUCCAGGUUACUAUGUUUAAUAUUUGUUAUGACAUAGGCUUUCCUUGUGUCCACACUCACUCACUCUGAAAAUAUACUUACAGAUGAGUAUCCCAAAACUUGGCUUCUACAUGGCUUCUAUAAUCUGGUCCCUUUUCUGUCUUUCAUAGAGUGGUAACUUUCUGUAGUCCUGGCUACUGACUGGGUAAAUGCAUCAUUGAUUAGGUCAUUUUAAUUAGGCCCUGGUUCAAGGACCUGUUAUAGAUUUAUUUUUCCUUUACUUGGAAUUUUUACACAUAAGACUUUGAUAGUCUAUAUUUUCAUCCAGUAAUUUUCU
rnacentral:lncRNA from 1 species